rnacentral:misc_RNA from 1 species
CUGGAAUACAUUCAAGGUUGUAGCUGGCCUUCCGGGGCAUGUGCUCGCCUUGUUUCCAUCCAUCUUUACACCUGUGCACACUUUGUAGUUCUUGCUUUCUGGGUUGACCCGGGAACCGGAUACUACGUAUUUAACACAUACACAUUAAAUAGUCUAGAAUGUCAUACUUGUGAUAAACACACAUUUAUAA